GACGAACGUUGGCGGCGUGCUUAACACAUGCAAGUCGAACGGUAAGGCCCUUCGGGGUACACGAGUGGCGAACGGGUGAGUAACACGUGGGUGAUCUGCCCUGCACUUCGGGAUAAGCCUGGGAAACUGGGUCUAAUACCGGAUAGGACCACUGCCUGCAGGGGUGGUGGUGGAAAGCUUUUGCGGUGUGGGGUGGGCCCGCGGCCUAUCAGCUUGUUGGUGGGGUGAUGGCCUACCAAGGCGACGACGGGUAGCCGGCCUGAGAGGGUGACCGGCCACACUGGGACUGAGAUACGGCCCAGACUCCUACGGGAGGCAGCAGUGGGGAAUAUUGCACAAUGGGCGCAAGCCUGAUGCAGCGACGCCGCGUGAGGGAUGACGGCCUUCGGGUUGUAAACCUCUUUCAGCACCGACGAAGCGCAAGUGACGGUAGGUGCAGAAGAAGGACCGGCCAACUACGUGCCAGCCGCCGCGGUAA
rnacentral:rRNA from 1 species